UCCCUGGUGGCUCAGAUGGUCAAGUGCCUGCCUGCAAUGUGGGAGGCCCGGGUUCAAUUCCUGGGUCGGGAA
rfam:Ovis aries breed Texel chromosome 18, whole genome shotgun sequence.